ACGAAGCGGCUCUUCCCGCUAUCUGCCGCUAGUCCACCGGAAGCGAGUUGCGACCCGGCAGGUUCCCGCCCGGAAGAAGCGACCAAAGCGCCUGAGGACCGGCAACAUGGUGCGGUCGGGGAAUAAGGCAGCUGUUGUGCUGUGUAUGGACGUGGGCUUUACCAUGAGUAACUCCAUUCCUGGUAUAGAAUCCCCAUUUGAACAAGCAAAGAAGGUGAUAACCAUGUUUGUCCAGCGACAGGUGUUUGCUGAGAACAAGGAUGAGAUUGCUUUAGUCCUGUUUGGUACGGAUGGCACUGACAAUCCUCUUUCUGGUGGGGAUCAGUAUCAGAACAUCACAGUGCACAGACAUCUGAUGCUACCAGAUUUUGAUUUACUGGAGGACAUUGAAAGCAAAAUCCAACCAGGUUCUCAACAGGCUGACUCUGAGUCCUGGAUGCACUAAUCGUGAGCAUGGAUGUGAUUCAACAUGAAACAAUAGGAAAGAAGUUUGAGAAGAGGCAUAUUGAAAUAUUCACUGACCUCAGCAGCCGAUUCAGCAAAAGUCAGCUGGAUAUUAUAAUUCAUAGCUUGAAG
rnacentral:sRNA from 1 species